GUAAAUCAGACGGUCGCGUGUGCAGACCGAAAGGUCGUACACGAGGAAAGUCCGGGCUCCGAAGGGCAAGGGUGCCGGGUAAUACCCGGUGGAGGCGACUCCAAGGAUAGUGCAACAGAAAAAAAACGCCGGUAUUUUCCGGUAAGUGUGGAAAGGUGCGGUAAGAGCGCACCAGGGGACUGGCGACUACUCCCCUGUGUAAACCCCAUCCGGAGCAACACCUCACAGGGAUUGUCAAGCCGGCCCGGCGUUUUCCCGAUUUGGUGGCUAGAGUUCGGCAGUAAUGCCGCGCGUAGAUAGAUGAUCGUCUAAUACAGAACCCGGCUUACAGAUUUGCUCA
rnacentral:RNase_P_RNA from 1 species